AUGGCGCAGCAGAAACAAAUCCGACUAGGAACCAUGAGGUUGUGGGUUCGAUCCCUGGCCUUGCUCAGUGGAUUAAAGAUCUGGCAUUGCUGUGAGCUGUGGUGUAGGGCAGUGGCUACAGCUCCUAUUAGACCCCUUGCCUGGGAACCUCCAUAUGCCGAGGGUGCUGCCUUAAAAAGACAAAAGAAAAAAAGAACAAUAAAAACUGAGAUAGGGGUUCCCGCUAUGGUACAUUGGGUUAAGAACCUGACUACAGUGGCUUGGCUCACUGCAGAGAUACAGUUUUAAUCCCUGACCUGGUGCAGUGGUUUAAAGGAUCCGGGCGUUGCCACAGAUGCAGCUCGGAUUCGAUCCCUAUCCUGGGAACUUCUGUAGGCUGUGGGUGGCCAUGAAAAAAAACCUGAGAUACAUGAGAUUUAUGCUUUGAAAACAUAUAGUUCAGUGGUUUUUAGUAUAUUUACAAGCCUGUAUAGCCAUCAUCACUGUCUAAUUCCAGAACAUUUCCUAGUCCAAAAAGAAACCCCAUACCCAUUAGCAAUCACUCCCUAUUCCUCCUGUUCCCUUAGACCAUGGCAACCAGUAAUCUGCUUACUGUCUCUAGGGACUUGCCUUAUAGUGGACAUUUCAUAUCCAUGGAAUCUUAUAAUACAUGGCCUUUUGUGUCUGGCUUAUUUUGUUUAGCAUAAUAAUGUUUCAGGAUUCAUCCAUGUUGUAGCAUGUGUCAGUACUCCAUUUUUUUUUAUGGCAGAAUAAUGUUCCAUUAUAUGGACAUACAUUUUGUUUGUCCAUAAGUUGUGAAUAAUUGGGUUGUUUCUGCCUUAUAGCUGUUGGGAUAAUGCUGCUGUGAACAUUGUGUACAAGUUUUUUGUAUGAACAGAUCUUUUCAGUACUCCUGGAUAGACAUCUAGGAGUGGAAUUGCUGAGUCAUGUGGCAACUGUCUCUCUCUUUUUUUUCCUGAUAUUUUAUUGAGGUGAAGUUAAAUCAUUCAUAAUGUUGUACAACCACUACCUCUGUUUCGUUUCAAAAUAUUUCCAUUACUCCAAGUAAAACCCCUCACCCAAUAAUGUUUCUCCCCAUUCCCUACCCCUGGCAACUACCAGUCUGUCUUCUGUCUCUAUGAAUUUAUCUAUUUUGAAUACGUCAUGUAAAUAGAACCUUAGAAUAUGUCGCCUUUUGUGUCUGGUCUUUUGAUUAUUGUAUUUGGAGGUUCAUCCACGUUCUAGCAUGUAUCAGUACUUCAUUUCUUUUUAUGGUUAAAUAAAAUUCUGUUUAACUUUUUGAGUGGCUGUACU
rnacentral:lncRNA from 1 species